UACGUAGGGUGCGAGCGUUGUCCGGAAUUAUUGGGCGUAAAGGGCUCGUAGGCGGUUUGUCACGUCGGGAGUGAAAACUCGGGGCUCAACCCCGAGCCUGCUUCCGAUACGGGCAGACUAGAGGUAUGCAGGGGAGAAUGGAAUUCCUGGUGUAGCGGUGAAAUGCGCAGAUAUCAGGAGGAACACCGGUGGCGAAGGCGGUUCUCUGGGCCUUACCUGACGCUGAGGAGCGAAAGCGUGGGGAGCAAACAGG
rnacentral:rRNA from 1 species